GACGAACGCUGGCGGCGUGCUUAACACAUGCAAGUCGAACGGUAAGGCCCUUCGGGGUACACGAGUGGCGAACGGGUGAGUAACACGUGGGUGAUCUGCCCUGCACUUUGGGAUAAGCCUGGGAAACUGGGUCUAAUACCGAAUAGGACUCCGGACUGCAUGGUCUGGGGUGGAAAGCUUUUGCGGUGUGGGAUGGGCCCGCGGCCUAUCAGCUUGUUGGUGGGGUGAUGGCCUACCAAGGCGACGACGGGUAGCCGGCCUGAGAGGGUGACCGGCCACACUGGGACUGAGAUACGGCCCAGACUCCUACGGGAGGCAGCAGUGGGGAAUAUUGCACAAUGGGCGCAAGCCUGAUGCAGCGACGCCGCGUGAGGGAUGACGGCCUGG
rnacentral:rRNA from 1 species